rnacentral:rRNA from 1 species
UUGUCUCAAAGAUUAAGCCAUGCAUGUCUCAGUACAAGCCAAAUUAAGGUGAAACCGCGAAAGGCUCAUUAAAUCAGUUAUGGUUCCUUAGAUCGUACCCACAUUUACUUGGAUAACUGUGGUAAUUCUAGAGCUAAUACAUGCAAAUAGAGCUCCGACCGGGAACGGAAGGAGCGCUUUUAUUAGAUCAAAACCAAUAGGUGGCGGGUUCGCUCGUCAUCGUACAAUUUGGUGAUUCUGAAUAACUUUAGGCUGAUCGCACGGUCUCGUACCGGCGACGCAUCUUUCAAAUGUCUGCCUUAUCAACUGUCGAUGGUAGGUUCUGCGCCUACCAUGGUUGUUACGGGUAACGGGGAAUCAGGGUUCGAUUCCGGAGAGGGAGCCUGAGAAACGGCUACCACAUCCAAGGAAGGCAGCAGGCGCGCAAAUUACCCACUCCCAGCUCGGGGAGGUAGUGACGAAAAAUAACGAUACGGGACUCAUCCGAGGCCCCGUAAUCGGAAUGAGAACACUCUAAACCCUUUAACGAGGAUCAAUUGGAGGGCAAGUCUGGUGCCAGCAGCCGCGGUAAUUCCAGCUCCAAUAGCGUAUAUUAAAGUUGUUGCGGUUAAAAAGCUCGUAGUCGAAUUUGUGUCUCGCGCCGCCGGUUCAUCGUUCGCGGUGUCAACUGGCGUGUCGCGAGACGUCCUGCCGGCGGGUCGUUCGCAAGAGCGGCCCAACUGACCCCGCCGCGGUGCUCUUCAUUGAGUGUCGAGGUGGGCCGGCACGUUUACUUUGAACAAACUAAGGUGCUUAAAGCAGGCUGAAAUUUUGCCAGAAUAUUUUAUGCAUGGAAUAAUGAAACAGGACCUCGAUUCUAUUUUGUUGGUUUUCGGAACCUCGAGGUAAUGAUUAACAGGAACGGAUGGGGGCAUUCGUAUUGCGACGUUAGAGGUGAAAUUCUUGGANCGUCGCAAGACGGACAGAAGCGAAAGCAUUUGCCAAAAACGUUUUCAUUGAUCAAGAACGAAAGUUAGAGGUUCGAAGGCGAUCAGAUACCGCCCUAGUUCUAACCAUAAACUAUGCCAGCUAGCGAUCCGCCGACGUUCCUCCGAUGACUCGGCGGGCAGCUUCCGGGAAACCAAAGCUUUUGGGUUCCGGGGGAAGUAUGGUUGCAAAGCUGAAACUUAAAGGAAUUGACGGAAGGGCACCACCAGGAGUGGAGCCUGCGGCUUAAUUUGACUCAACACGGGAAACCUCACCAGGCCCGGACACCGGAAGGAUUGACAGAUUGAGAGCUCUUUCUUGAUUCGGUGGGUGGUGGUGCAUGGCCGUUCUUAGUUGGUGGAGCGAUUUGUCUGGUUAAUUCCGAUAACGAACGAGACUCUAGCCUGCUAACUAGGCGUAUUAGACAUCCUCAAAGGCCCCCGGCUUCGGUCGGUGGGUUUUUACUGUCUGCGUACAUUAUAUUCUUCUUAGAGGGACAGGCGGCUUCUAGCCGCACGAGAUUGAGCAAUAACAGGUCUGUGAUGCCCUUAGAUGUUCUGGGCCGCACGCGCGCUACACUGAAGGAAUCAGCGUGUCUUCCCUGGCCGAGAGGCCCGGGUAACCCGCUGAACCUCCUUCGUGCUAGGGAUUGGGGCUUGCAAUUGUUCCCCAUGAACGAGGAAUUCCCAGUAAGCGCGAGUCAUAAGCUCGCGUUGAUUACGUCCCUGCCCUUUGUACACACCGCCCGUCGCUACUACCGAUUGAAUGAUUUAGUGAGGUCUUCGGACCGGUACGCGGUGGCGUUUCGGCGUCACCGCUGUUGCUGGGAAGAUGACCAAACUUGAUCAUUU